rnacentral:rRNA from 1 species
UUGAACGCUGGCGGCAUGCCUUACACAUGCAAGUCGAACGGCAGCACGGGUGCUUGCACCUGGUGGCGAGUGGCGAACGGGUGAGUAAUACAUCGGAACAUGUCCUGUAGUGGGGGAUAGCCCGGCGAAAGCCGGAUUAAUACCGCAUACGAUCCACGGAUGAAAGCGGGGGACCUUCGGGCCUCGCGCUAUAGGGUUGGCCGAUGGCUGAUUAGCUAGUUGGUGGGGUAAAGGCCUACCAAGGCGACGAUCAGUAGCUGGUCUGAGAGGACGACCAGCCACACUGGGACUGAGACACGGCCCAGACUCCUACGGGAGGCAGCAGUGGGGAAUUUUGGACAAUGGGCGAAAGCCUGAUCCAGCAAUGCCGCGUGUGUGAUGAAGGCCUUCGGGUUGUAAAGCACUUUUGUCCGGAAAGAAAUCCUUGACUCUAAUACAGUCGGGGGAUGACGGUACCGGAAGAAUAAGCACCGGCUAACUACGUG